CCUGAUGCAGCAACGCCGCGUGAGGGACGACGGCCUUCGGGUUGUAAACCUCUUUUAGCAGGGAAGAAGCGAAAGUGACGGUACCUGCAGAAAAAGCGCCGGCUAACUACGUGCCAGCAGCCGCGGUAAUACGUAGGGCGCAAGCGUUAUCCGGAAUUAUUGGGCGUAAAGAGCUCGUAGGCGGUUUGUCGCGUCUGCUGUGAAAUCCCGAGGCUCAACCUCGGGUCUGCAGUGGGUACGGGCAGACUAGAGUGCGGUAGGGGAGAUUGGAAUUCCUGGUGUAGCGGUGGAAUGCGCAGAUAUCAGGAGGAACACCGAUGGCGAAGGCAGAUCUCUGGGCCGUAACUGACGCUGAGGAGCGAAAGGGUGGGGAGCAAACAGGCUUAGAUACCCUGGUAGUCCACCCCGUAAACGUUGGGAACUAGUUGUGGGGUCCAUUCCACGGAUUCCGUGACGCAGCUAACGCAUUAAGUUCCCCGCCUGGGGAGUACGGCCGCAAGGCUAAAACUCAAAGGAAUUGACGGGGACCCGCACAAGCGGCGGAGCAUGCGGAUUAAUUCGAUGCAACGCGAAGAACCUUACCAAGGCUUGACAUAUACGAGAACGCUGCAGAAAUGUAGAACUCUUUGGACACUCGU
rnacentral:rRNA from 1 species